AUUGUUGUUAUGGAACAAGUUCUCAAUAUUAUUUACCCAAAAAAGGAGGAGAUGUGCUUAAGCACAAUCACUCAAGUUGUUUCCAAACAAUGACUUUUAAUCUCGAAGCAAUCCACUUCAAGUUAUUAAUGAAGAAAGAAUACACAUAUAUUAUUCACAUGGCUAAGAUAACCAAAAGCUUUUUAGAAAUGGAGAGCAACACGUGUACAAAUGAAGAACAAUGAAACUAUGGAAGACCCAUGUAAAAAGAAGUUUUUAAAUGAUUAAGAUUGUAAUUUUCAUACAUCUACUUGGAUUUGAGUUGUAUCUUG